CGUAACAAGGUUUCCGUAGGUGAACCUGCGGAAGGAUCAUUACCUAGAGUUUGUAGACUUCGGUCUGCUACCUCUUACCCAUGUCUUUUGAGUACCUUCGUUUCCUCGGCGGGUCCGCCCGCCGAUUGGACAACAUUCAAACCCUUUGCAGUUGCAAUCAGCGUCUGAAAAAACAUAAUAGUUACAACUUUCAACAACGGAUCUCUUGGUUCUGGCAUCGAUGCAGAACGCAGCGAAAUGCGAUAAGUAGUGUGAAUUGCAGAAUUCAGUGAAUCAUCGAAUCUUUGAACGCACAUUGCGCCCCUUGGUAUUCCAUGGGGCAUGCCUGUUCGAGCGUCAUUUGUACCUUCAAGCUCUGCUUGGUGUUGGGUGUUUGUCUCGCCUCUGCGUGUAGACUCGCCUUAAAACAAUUGGCANCCGGCGUAUUGAUUUCGGAGCGCAGUACAUCUCGCGCUUUGCACUCAUAACGACGACGUCCAAAAGUACAUUUUUACACUCUUGACCUCNGAUCAGGUAGGGAUACCCGCUGAACUUAAGCAUAUCA
rnacentral:rRNA from 1 species